GAAUAAAGGACAAUGAUGCCCAGAAAGGGAAUUGGAGAAACCGUGGAAGAUUGUCCCACGCUAAGGGGUUUCUGUCUGCGUGCAAAGGGUACGGGGACGAUGCAGCUCAAUCCUGCUGCUGAAAACAGCAGCUUGCUCUGCCUAACAGGUUAGUCCAUCCUCCCCCG
rnacentral:lncRNA from 1 species